rnacentral:rRNA from 1 species
UACGUAGGGUGCGAGCGUUAAUCGGAAUUACUGGGCGUAAAGCGUGCGCAGGCGGUGAUGUAAGACAGGUGUGAAAUCCCCGGGCUUAACCUGGGAACUGCAUUGAAUACUGGGAGGCUAGAGUACUGGAGAGGAAACUGGAAUUUACGGUGUAGCAGUGAAAUGCGUAGAGAUCGUAAGGAAGACCAGUGGCGAAGGCGAGUUUCUGGACAGUUACUGACGCUGAGGCACGAAGGCCAGGGGAGCAAACGGG